AACGAACGCUGGNGGCGCGCCUAACACAUGCAAGUCGAACGAGAAUCCGGGGCAACCCGGUAGUAAAGUGGCAAACGGGUGAGGAAUACAUGGGUAACCUACCCUUGAGAAGGGAAUAACCCGCCGAAAGGUGAGCUAAUACCCUAUACGCUAUCUUUUUUUCGAAAGGUUAAGGAAGACCGGGUCGGAGGACCUGGUACUCAAGGAGGGGCGUCAUGUCCUAUCAGCUUGUUGGUGGGGUAACGGGCCUACCAAGGCUACGACGGGUAGCUGGUCUGAGAGGAUGAUCAGCCACACUGGCACUGAGAUACGGGCCAGACUCCUACGGGAGGCAGCAGUGAGGAAUAUUGCGCAAUGGGCGAAAGCCUGACGCAGCGACGCCGCGUGGGGGAUGAAGGUUUUCGG
rnacentral:rRNA from 1 species